rnacentral:rRNA from 1 species
AGUCUGAUGGAGCACGCCGCGUGAUUUUGAUGAAGGGUUUCGGCUCGUAAAACUCUGUUGUUGGAGAAGAACAGGUGUGAGAGUAACUGUUCACAUCUUGACGGUAUCCAACCAGAAAGCCACGGCUAACUACGUGCCAGCAGCCGCGGUAAUACGUAGGUGGCAAGCGUUGUCCGGAUUUAUUGGGCGUAAAGCGAGCGCAGGCGGUUUCUUAGGUCUGAUGUGAAAGCCUUCGGCUUAACCGGAGAAGUGCAUCGGAAACCAGGAGACUUGAGUGCAGAAGAGGACAGUGGAACUCCAUGUGUAGCGGUGAAAUC